GGUUGUUUUCCUGGGGACAGUUUGUCUUGAAAACAAACUAAAAGUGUUCGAUUCACUUAUCAACCU
rnacentral:tRNA from 1 species